AUUGAACGCUGGCGGCAGGCCUAACACAUGCAAGUCGAACGAGUGGCGGACGGGUGAGUAAUGUCUGGGAAACUGCCUGAUGGAGGGGGAUAACUACUGGAAACGGUAGCUAAUACCGCAUACCAUCGGAUGUGCCCAGAUGGGAUUAGCUAGUAGGUGGGGUAACGGCUCACCUAGGCGACGAUCCCUAGCUGGUCUGAGAGGAUGACCAGCCAAACUGGAAAGGAGACAAGGUCAAGACUCCUAGGGGAGGCAGAAGGGGGGAAUAUGGAAAAAUGGGCGAAAGCCUGAGGAAGCCAUGCCGGGUGAAUGAAGAAGGCCUUCGGGUGGUAAAGUACUUUCAGCGGGGAGGCUUUACCCGCAGAAGAAGCACCGGCUAACUCCGUGCCAGCAGCCGCGGGAAUU
rnacentral:rRNA from 1 species